rnacentral:rRNA from 1 species
UACGAAGGGGGCUAGCGUUGCUCGGAAUCACUGGGCGUAGAGCGCACGUAGGCGGAUUCUUAAGUCGGUGGUGAAAGCCUGGAGCUCAACUCCAGAACUGCCUUCGAUACUGAGAGUCUUGAGUCCGGGAGAGGUGAGUGGAACUGCGAGUGUAGAGGUGAAAUUCGUAGAUAUUCGCAAGAACACCAGUGGCGAAGGCGGCUCACUGGCCCGGUACUGACGCUGAGGUGCGAAAGCGUGGGGAGCAAACAGG